GCAGUUGGUAGCUCAGUGGUAGAGUGCAUGCUUUGUGUGUAUGACGUCCUGGUUUCAAAGCCCAGCUGCUGCC
rnacentral:tRNA from 1 species